rnacentral:misc_RNA from 1 species
CGGCGACGGUGCUGACGGCCAGCAGCGCCAGGACGGACGGCCCCGGCUCCGCCUGCCGUGCUUCAGUGGGCGUUUCGACAAUCCGGCGAUGGCCUUCUGCGUGUUCGACUUUUGCCAUUGNNNNNNNNNNNNGCGAACGUUUCGCGCAACAUAUGAAGGGCAACGUCCGAUGGCAGACGAUGUUCCUGAUCGGAAAGCCGCUAUCUCCGCGGCGGCUGUUCGCUCCGAUUUGCUCUCAAGCACAACUCUGG